rnacentral:lncRNA from 1 species
AGGAUCAUUUUGGAAAUUUUAAAACAAAAACUGAGGUCACAACAUAGUUAUUGAAACAGUUGUGAGCAUAUUUGAAAUAUUUUUAAAAGUGGGCUUUUCUUCUCUCCCAGCCAGCUGCAUCUUUCAUGAAAAAACCCAUCUUUUCUUCUCUCCCCCUCUCCUCAUAUUCUUUCUUCUCAUCUUAUUUUAAAUUAUUUGAAGUCGAAAUAUCA